ACGAACUCCCUGCCUCAUCCUCUUUUUUGGGUGACAAUCAGAUUACUGCUGUAGCAGUUAAUUAUUGCAUUAGUUAUAAUUUGCCUAUUCAUUUGUCUUCUUCCCUCCCACCUUGGAAUAAUUCCAUCUCUCCAUCCUUCCCCCCUUCACACUACCUCUGCUGUUUGACUCCCAUCCCCUUUUCUCUUGCAUUCCUCAUGCACACAAAGCUUUGCUGCACUGCUCUACCCUUUCCUUCUUUAUCUUCCUACUACUCACAUCAUCUGUGCUUUCCUAACACUUCUUGCUCCAUCCUCUCUCCCAGUCCUCCUACAGUUUCCUUCACUUUAGACCCCCUGCCUACCAUCUCAGGUUACUGUUUCACACAGGUCUUCUCUUUCUUCUACCCCUGUGCAAGGGUACUGCCAGCUUCUCCUGGGUCUGAGCCGGGUCUUGUUCCUCUCCUGUACUCUCCCUGGCUCUUAUACAGGCAAUGGCAUUACUCUGCUUCUACUUAUCCAAAUACCCCAGAAACUGUAUCUUCUGCCACCUCCUUUAGCCUUACUCAAUUCUUCACAGCUCCAAAUCAUCGCUGUCCUUCAGGCUCCUUUAUCAAGACUUCCAAGGACAUGCAGGAGGUGCAUAUGAGAGAACACAUAAGGAUGCUCUAAAGGCAAGUAAUUUUCCACUUGUAUUAUAUUUUCAUACAUACUUCAGACCAUCUGUGGAAAGCUGUAAAAUGACUAGUUGGAAACAUAUUAUAAAAUUGUGUUAUUUUACUUAAAAUAUUAAUUUAGCAGACUCAGAUCUGAAAACUCAGCAAAACUUGAACAGUUUUCUUGCUUUUCCCAGUUUUGCUCAUCUUUUAACAACAACAAGGUUUCAUAAUUUAAUGUGACACAGAGUCUUCCUCUACCAUCUGUGACUCUUGAACCACAUUUGGCUGCUAGCUUGGCAUGUGUUACGUUUUUCUGUAGUCUCAGGUACACAUGUUCUUGUUAAUGCAGCCUGCAGUAAUUUGCAUGUGUGUUCUCAAGUAAGGAGAAGUGAGGCCACACUUCAUUAUUCUGUAAUGACACCUCUGGACCCUGAGAUCAGUACAUUAUAUUGGAACAGCAUACUGGAUACAGUUGAAGUUAGCUUUGUGACCAUCUCUUUCCUGCUUCCCAGUAUUUGAGAAAGCUUCUUAUAUCAAUGUAGUUUCAAAAUGCCAUUUUGUGGCAAUUCUGGCCUGGAGGAGACUGGCAGCUUUAUGUUCCUGGUUUUCCCUAUAUGAAAUUUCUAUACUACUCCCUGUAUGAAAUUUCUAUACUUGAGUUCCAAACUUCUGGAAAAAGAGACUGUGCUGUUAGCUCUCAACCACCUUUUUUCUUUGUUUUUUUUUUCUUCUUUAUAUAGAACAGCUUGUCUUACCUGUGCUUACUGCAGAAUUUCUUCUUCACAUCUGAAUACCAGUUGUUGAACGUGUCUUUAAAUACUUCUUGCACACCCUCUAUGUGUGUGCCUUUUCCCUUCUUUGUUCUUUUGUCUUUCUACUUCAAAACCAGCCAUUCCUAUCUUUCCUGUAUGAGUUCCACUGCAAAACAAAUUCAAGUUAAGUGCAAUAGACACUUUCAAAUAAAACUUUCAAAUUACACAACCCUA